rnacentral:lncRNA from 1 species
UUGCAACUGCUUAACCCAGGUGGGUGCUUUAUAUAGAUUUAUAUGCAAAUUCAGUGCAUAGAACAGAAAUCUUUGUUAUUACAAUGCAAUUUCAUUUACAUAGAAAUCUUUGUUAUUAUAAUGCAAUUUCAGUUGCCUGUGUAAUUUUAACAGGGAAUGUGUAUAUAGUACAGGCAUCAUCAUUAUUACAGGCUGUUUGGAAGGUAAUUUAAAUAGAUUGGAAAAAAUCUCCCUGUUUUCCUAGAUUCCAAGAUCUUGCUUACUUUUAUAUCUCAUUUUGUGAUGAUGGAAACUACACUUUGUUUUCAUAAUUGUGUGGUUGGGCUUCAAAAAUAGUAUUCAUGGAGUGUAACUGUAAAACCCUGAUGUUAUUAUUUUAAAUGAGUAGCGCGUAUGUGGUUUAUGCGUAGGAAACGUGUUUUUAUCUGUGUUGCUCAUGUUACUUUUCCAAAAUUUGGGUUGAGAUAAUUUCUAAAAGAGCAGCCUUUCUCUAACCAAGGAUCUCAACUUUCUCUUAUCUCUACCAGACCAUAAACCUUUGACCUUGAGAUUGAGAUCAAAAGACUCUACCAUCAUGAAAUCAAUUAUGCCCAGAAUUUUAACUUAAAAGGUCCUCACUUCCUUCCACAGCAGUGUAGACAUGAUUUUCAGUUGUAAAUACCUACCUAAUUUUGUCCAGAUUUCAUUAGGUUUUAAAAGCAGUGUGUUUAACCACUGUUCAUCCGUGUUAAAAUCAUAGUGCGAGCCCCAGGCUCCUAGACUCUCCACUGAAGGUUCAUUUGUCCAUAUCCAAAGUGAAAAAUUCUUUUUUAAUUUUUUCCCCAUUUUUAUUUUGCAUGUGAAAAAUAGCUUGUGUGUUUGUUCUUGUGAGAGGUACAUGCUAAUAAAGGUGCUCAUAUUCCCUCCAUCCUACUCUCACACCUCCUGUGACAUCUUGAUAUGCAAUUUUCUGGAUGUUACCAAUUGUGCUGUUUGCCAAAUCUCUAAAAGAAUAAUGGACUUUUAUUUUUGGUAAACAGAAUAGUGUAAUUUAUUGUACAGAUCUUCAAUGACAGUUAUCUUCUAUGAUUUUUAAGAAUUUUGUUUAUUCCUUUGUCCUAUCAUGAUGUACCAUUUUCUUUGGGGCACAAUCUUUGAUCUUCUUUUGUAAAAUAUUUGAAAUCUUAUUUAUCUUCUCUAGAAUUUGUUACUUGUUAUCUACUUUGUUCUGGUUUUUCGACUUUGAUAGGGUUCUUAUAAAUCCAUUGACAUUGGGCUGUAUGGACGUGCACUUUGGAGCUUUCUUAGAUGGGUAAGAGGCCCUUUAGAGCUUAAGUUUUGGGUCUCUUCAAGGCCCUUGUAAGAUUCCAGGCUUCAUCCCUCUAUUUAGGAAAAAAAGAAUAGGCUUCCCUUUUUCCAAGAAGAUGAAUCUAAUAGAUGCAUAUUUGUCUUGACAAAAUUAAUUUUAUGCCCUGAUUACUUGGGGAGGUGCUGUUCAAUCAAGUUUAGUAGACAAGUAACCUUUCUCCCUCUUUGAUUGUAUACUUUAACCUUGAAAUUAGUCUUUGGAAAUUCCAGUGAAUCAGGGAUUGAACAAAUCACGUUGGUGGUAGCUCUUGUUUCAUUGUGACUUGACAUGGUUGUUUUAUCACUUGUGCCACUCCAAUGUUUUUAGCUGACAACAUCAUCUUUUUUAUUCUGUUUUCUUUUUGUUUUGUUCUUUUUUAAUUUACUUUAGGUAGUUGCACAGCAGCGUGAAAUUACGACUUCCAAUUCAAAUUAGAAAUGGAAAGACAUAUUUGAUUGGUUGGUGUGGAUGUUUGAUAAUUACACAGCUUUCAUGUUAGAUAAGUAUCCCAUUCCAAUAUGUGAAUUAUUUUCUAUAGACCAAAUUUUAAAUUAAUUAUUGAAUGGUUAGCUGUUCAAAGGAUAACAGAAAUUUUAAAUUGUUUGUCUUACAUCAUCUUGUACUGACCAGUAAUAUAGUAUCAAGACACCUUUGAUGACUAUUGAAUAUGGCAUAAAAUCAUUGACAUCUUGUGAUCCUUUUUCUUUUCCCUUUGAGAUAGUGCACUCAGAUUUCCAUGAGUACAUCAACAUGGCUGAAAGCCCAUGACAGUUGUGCCUGCCAUGGGCUUCCGGCCUUUCUAGGUUGUUAAGGUUGUAUGUAUCGACACCAUGUAGGCAGGCACUUAAAUCCAGAAAUAUCAGUACUUACGUUCAAGUUGGGAGAUGUGUGGAUAUAUAUUUUUUAAACAUGAGCUCUUUGAAUUAUUAGAUAACAAAACAUUUCCAUGUCAACCAGUUUUUGGUAGCUGAACCUUGCUGGCUGCAAACUGGGGAGAUAUGACAUUUCUUGUUUUUGCAAUGGUGAAUGAGGAGCAGUGUGACUUGGAGCAUGCAUUUUGUGAAGAAGUUUCACACGUCCAUAUGAAUAAAUGGAUGAGAGUUGCCCACCUCAAAACACUAAAGCAUUAGCAUGAUGCAUGUUCAUGCUACAUUUUCGUUGUGUCGUCCCGGAAUGUCGGGAGACACACACACACAAACAUUUGAAUAAGUUUGGUUGUAUUGGGUUCGAUUAUGUGUUCAUUAAACAAGUUAUAUAAUUAAGAUAUGUUGGUUCUAUUAGACAUGUUUAGGGAGUGUGGCUGUUGCUAAAUUAUUGACAACCAAUGAUGCUAGAAAAUAUGGGUCAAUUUAGAGGCAGCUUAUACAUAGCAUGUGUUUAGUGAAGAUGAUUUGUUAGCAUAGAUGAAUGACACCACUGGUUUCAAAGUUUGAUUCGAGUCAAAGAGCAA